rnacentral:lncRNA from 1 species
CUUUGUUUCCUUGAGUUUCCUUGCUUUAAUAAUCACUUAGAACCCUUCUAAUCUAAAUUAGGAAUACUAAAAAUGGGUUUGUAGCCAUUGAAGCAUGAGAAAUGACCAUUUGAGAGCUCCAAGAUCAAUUCUGUAUGUUCUGAAAAGUAGCCAUUAUUGUUGUCAGAAGCUGUUGAUUUGACUCAAUUUUUUCUUAAGUCAAUUCAAGGUCCC